GACGAACGCUGGCGGCGUGCUUAACACAUGCAAGUCGAACGGAAAGGCCCUGCUUUUGUGGGGUGCUCGAGUGGCGAACGGGUGAGUAACACGUGAGUAACCUGCCCUUGACUUUGGGAUAACUUCAGGAAACUGGGGCUAAUACCGGAUAGGAGCUCCUGCUGCAUGGUGGGGGUUGGAAAGUUUCGGCGGUUGGGGAUGGACUCGCGGCUUAUCAGCUUGUUGGUGGGGUAGUGGCUUACCAAGGCUUUGACGGGUAGCCGGCCUGAGAGGGUGACCGGCCACAUUGGGGCUGAGAUGCGGCCCAGACUCCUACGGGAGGCAUCAGUGGGGAAUAUUGCACAAUGGGCGGAAGCCUGAUGCAGCAACGCCGCGUGCGGGAUGACGGCCUUCGGGUUGUAAACCGCUUUCGCCUGUGACGAAGCGUGAGUGACGGUAAUGUGUAAAGAAGCACCGGCUAACUACGUG
rnacentral:rRNA from 1 species